AUCUUUGUCAUCUUACUCGCUUGAUCUCCCUUGAUCUCAGUGGCAACCAUUUCACUGGUGGUAUCCCCACUAUGCUCGCAAACUGCAGCCAAGUUGACACGAUUCGCCUCAACGACAACAGGUUUUCAGGAUCCAUCCCACCACAGAUUUUCAAAUCAAGUAAGCUUUUAUACCUUGAUUUGGGUGACAAUCGCCUCAAUGGAACCAUUCCUUCUGAGGUAGGACUGUCGACAAGCCUUCAAUAUCUUGGGCUGUGGAACACUUUCCUUAGUGGAAAUGUUCCAAAAGAGCUA
rnacentral:lncRNA from 1 species